rnacentral:rRNA from 1 species
AGUGAACGCUGGCGGUAGGCCUAAUACAUGCAAGUCGAACGGCAGCACAGUAAGAGCUUGCUCUUACGGGUGGCGAGUGGCGGACGGGUGAGGAAUACAUCGGAAUCUACUUUUUCGUGGGGGAUAACGUAGGGACACUUACGCUAAUACCGCAUACGACCUACGGGUGAAAGCAGGGGAUCUUCGGACCUUGCGCGAUUGAAUGAGCCGAUGUCGGAUUAGCUAGUUGGCGGGGUAAAGGCCCACCAAGGCGACGAUCCGUAGCUGGUCUGAGAGGAUGAUCAGCCACACUGGAACUGAGACACGGUCCAGACUCCUACGGGAGGCAGCAGUGGGGAAUAUUGGACAAUGGGCGCAAGCCUGAUCCAGCCAUACCGCGUGGGUGAAGAAGGCCUUCGGGUUGUAAAGCCCUUUUGUUGGGAAAGAAAAGCAGCAGGUUAAUACCCCGCUGUUCUGACGGUACCCAAAGAAUAAGCACCGGCUAACUUCGUG